rnacentral:rRNA from 1 species
AACGAACGCUGGCGGCAUGCCUAACACAUGCAAGUCGAACGAGCCCUUCGGGUCUAGUGGCGCACGGGUGCGUAACGCGUGGGAACCUGCCCUUAGGUUCGGAAUAACUCACCGAAAGGGGUGCUAAUACCGGAUAAUGUCUUCGGACCAAAGAUUUAUCGCCUUUGGAUGGGCCCGCGUUGGAUUAGCUAGUUGGUAGGGUAAAAGCCUACCAAGGCGACGAUCCAUAGCUGGUCUGAGAGGAUGAUCAGCCACACUGGGACUGAGACACGGCCCAGACUCCUACGGGAGGCAGCAGUGGGGAAUAUUGGACAAUGGGCGAAAGCCUGAUGCAGCAAUGCCGCGUGAGUGAUGAAGGCCUUAGGGUUGUAAAGCUCUUUUACCCGGGAUGAUAAUGACAGUACCGGGAGAAUAAGCCCCGGCUAACUCCGUG